UUAUAAGAGACAGCAGUAGCCGCGGGAAUACAGAGGGUGCAAGCGUUAAUCGGAAUUACUGGGCGUAAAGCGCGCGUAGGUGGUUUGUUAAGUUGGAUGUGAAAGCCCCGGGCUCAACCUGGGAACUGCAUCCAAAACUGGCAAGCUAGAGUACGGUAGAGGGUGGUGGAAUUUCCUGUGUAGCGGUGAAAUGCGUAGAUAUAGGAAGGAACACCAGUGGCGAAGGCGACCACCUGGACUGAUACUGACACUGAGGUGCGAAAGCGUGGGGAGCAAACAGGAUUAGAUACCCCUGUAGUCCCUGUCUCUUAUCC
rnacentral:rRNA from 1 species